CCAGACUCCUACGGGAGGCAGCAGUGGGGAAUAUUGCACGAUGGGCGCGAGCCUGAUGCAGCCAUGCCGCGUGUAUGAAGAAGGCCUUCGGGUUGUAAAGUACUUUCAGCGGGGAGGAAGGGAGUAAAGUUAAUACCUUUGCUCAUUGACGUUACCCGCAGAAGAAGCACCGGCUAACUCCGUGCCAGCAGCCGCGGUAAUACGGAGGGUGCAAGCGUUGAUCGGAAUUACUGGGCGUAAAGCGCACGCAGGCGGUUUGUUAAGUCAGAUGUGAAAUCCCCGGGCUCAACCUGGGAACUGCAUCUGAUACUGGCAAGCUUGAGUCUCGUAGAGGGGGGUAGAAUUCCAGGUGUAGCGGUGAAAUGCGUAGAGAUCUGGAGGAAUACCGGUGGCGAAGGCGGCCCCCUGGACGAAGACUGACGCUCAGGUGCGAAAGCGUGGGGAGCAAACAGGAUUAGAUACCCUGGUAGUCCACGCCGUAAACGAUGUCGACUUGGAGGUUGUGCCCUUGAGGCGUGGCCUCCGGAGCUAACGCGUUAAGUCGACCGCCUGGGGAGUACGGCCGCAAGGUUAAAACUCAAAUGAAUUGACGGGGGCCCGCACAAG
rnacentral:rRNA from 1 species